CCUGGUUGAUCCUGCUAGUAGUCAUACGCUUGUCUCAAAGAUUAAGCCAUGCUUGUGCAAGUAUGAACUAAUUCAGACUAUGAAACUGUGAAUGGCACAAUAAAUCAGUUAUAAUUUGUUUGAUGGUAUGUGCUACUCAGAUAACUGUAAUAAUUCUAGAGAUAAUACAUGCACCAAAUCCCAACUUCUAGAAGGGAUGCAUUUAUUAUGUAAAAGGUUGAUGCUGGCUCAUGCCAGCUGCCCUGAUGACUCAUAAUAACUUGUCAGAUCGCACGGGCAUUGUACCAAUGACGCAUCAUUCAAAUAUCUGCCUUAUCAAUUUUAGAUGGAAGGAUAGGGUCCUACGAUGGUGGUGACGAGUGAUGGAGAAUUAGGGUUCAAUUCAGAAGAGAAAGCCUAAGAGACAGCUACCCCAUCCAAGGAAGGUAGCAAGCUCGCAAAAUACCUAAUCCUGACACGGAGAGGUAGUGACAAUAAUUAACAAUAUCAGGCUCUUUAAGUCUAGUAAUUGGAAUGAGUACAAUUUAAACCCCUUAACAAGGAUCCAUUAGAGGGCAAGUCUAGUGCCAGCAGCCACAGUAAUUCUAGCUCCAAUAGCGUAUAUUUAAGUUGUUGCAGUUAAAAAGCUCGUAGUUGGACCUUGGAAUGGGAUGAUCGGUCCGCCUCACGGUGUGCACCACCCAUCUCAUUCCCUUAUAUCAGUGAUGCGUUCCUGGACUUAAUUGGCUGGGUCGUGCCUUAGGCGUAGUUACUUAUAAGAAAUUAGAGUGCACAAAGCAAGCCCACAUUCUGGAUACAUUAGCAUGGAUAACACCAUAGGAUUUUGGUCCUAUUAUGUUGUCCUUCUGGUUCAAAGUAAUGAUUAAGAGGGACGGUCAGGGGCAUUCAUAUUUCAUAGUCAGAGGCAAAAUUCUAGGAUUUAUGAACGACGAACCACUGUGAAAGUAUUUGCCAAGGAUGUUUUUAUUAAUCAAGAACAAAAGUAGUGGGGCUCAAAGACAGUCAGAUAUUGUCCUUAUCUCAACCAUAAACGAUGCCGACCAGGGAUCGAUGAAUAUUUCUUUUAUGACUCCAUUGGCACCUUGUGAGAAAUCAAAGUCUUUGGGUUUUAUGAAAGACGAUCGUAGCCCAUGCCUAUAUAUAUAUAUAUAUCAGCUAUCAAUCAAAAGUACAAAACUCAAUCAGGAUCAAACUCCAUGGUGUCAUUAGCCAGAUGGUUUAGAAGCCUCUUGGGGAGCACAUCGUCUCUAGAAAAAGUAAAAGCACCAUGGAAUAUGAAAAAAUGCAAAAAUUUGCUACACAAUUCGCAUAGCACAAUCUAUAAGCAAAAAUAACAUGAGGUACAUCCAGCAGAAAAGCAAGGGGAUCAUCAUGCCGCUCUCCGCCCCGAGAACAGAGGGUCCUCUUCUAGAGAUGUUGAAGCCUCCGAAUCGCUCCCAGACAGUCUGCCUCAAUAAUGACUCUAUCAGCCUCAAACUCAGUCGCCAAGAGAGCCUGCUGUAAAAUGGUCACUACAUGGAUAUCAGCCUGAAGAGGAGACCACGCCAGCACAUUAUCUCACCGCAGCCAAAAAUUGCACAUUCGCAUCACGAACAACAACAGCCCAAAAAGUUGUGGGCUCGCCAUAGUUGUACGAAGUGUCGAUGUUGGCCUUCAGCCAAUGGGAUGAGGGAGGGGGGGAGGGGGCACCAUCUAGAGAAGGUGGAGGGGCCCUGGUGGAAUGUGGAA
rnacentral:rRNA from 1 species